rnacentral:rRNA from 1 species
UACGUAGGGUCCGAGCGUUGUCCGGAAUUACUGGGCGUAAAGAGCUCGUAGGUGGUUUGUCGCGUUGUUCGUGAAAACUCACAGCUCAACUGUGGGCGUGCGGGCGAUACGGGCAGACUGGAGUACUGCAGGGGAGACUGGAAUUCCUGGUGUAGCGGUGGAAUGCGCAGAUAUCAGGAGGAACACCGGUGGCGAAGGCGGGUCUCUGGGCAGUAACUGACGCUGGAGGAGCGAAAAGCCGUUGGGGAGCGAACAGG